rnacentral:rRNA from 1 species
CAAAUGAGUCAUACUAUAGUGACGGCGAGUGAAGCGGUAAUAGCUCAAAUUUGCAAUCUGGUACUUUCAGUGCCCGAGUUGUAAUUUGUAGAAUUUGUCUUUGAUUAGGUCCUUGUCUAUGAUCCUUGGAACAGGACGUCAUAGAGGGUGAGAAUCCCGUUUGGCGAGGAUACCUUUUCUCAAAUGAGUCAUACUAUAGUGACGGCGAGUGAAGCGGUAAUAGCUCAAAUUUGCAAUCUGGUACUUUCAGUGCCCGAGUUGUAAUUUGUAGAAUUUGUCUUUGAUUAGGUCCUUGUCUAUGAUCCUUGGAACAGGACGUCAUAGAGGGUGAGAAUCCCGUUUGGCGAGGAUACCUUUUCUCUGUAAGACUUUUUCGAAGAGUCGAGUUGUUUGGGAAUGCAGCUCAAAGUGGGUGGUAAAUUCCAUCUAAAGCUAAAUAUUGGCGAGAGACCGAUAGCGAACAAGUACAGUGAUGGAAAGAUGAAAGAACUUUGAAAAGAGAGUGAAAAAGUACGUGAAAUUGUUGAAAGGGAAGGGCAUUUGAUCAGACAUGGUGUUUUUUGCAUGCACUCGCCUCUCGUGGGCUUGGGCCUCUCAAAAAUUUCACUGGGCCAACAUCAGUUCUGGCAGCAGGAUAAAUCAUUAAGAAUGUAGCUACCUCGGUAGUGUUAUAGCUUAUUGGAAUACUGCUAGCUGGGAUUGAGGACUGCGCUUCGGCAAGGAUGUUGGCAUAAUGGUUAAAUGCCGCCCGCUGAAAAACCGGGGACAAAAAAAGAGUAAAAAAAAAAA